GGAAGCUGCCAGGGGGAGGAGGACGGACUUCCGGCGGUGCCAUUUUGCGCUACCCGGUGCUCGGCAUUGUAAAGGAGCAUGGUCUCUAGGAGAAGUUGGCGUUACUGAGUUCAAAUCCUGGCACUGGCACUGGCACUUAUUCCCUUUAUGACAUAACCUCAAUGUAUGAACCGAGAAUGCUAUUUUCAGGACCUACCUCACAGGGUUGUUGUGAGGAACAAAUGAAAUAAUGUUUGUAAAGCACUUUGCAUCCCUUACCGGAGUCUGUAGAUGUCAUUAUUGGGGGCCCUUCUUCAAUCAGAGCAUUUCCCAGUACCUUCACACAGCAUACUGGAUGGGUGGUUAACCCUCUGGAGACAGGCUUAGCUACUCCACCUCUGGGACAAUACACAUAACCCUCGCUAAGUUAGAUCUGCUGGGUCUCUUACUUCUUGGGUCUAGCCAGCUCUACACCCCUCUGAGGCAUUGGAUGUCCCUUUAGAGGAGGUCAUAGAACCCCCAAGUUGGAAUAGACCUAGGUGGAGUCUGCAGCAAAGGAAAAAUUCCCUCUGCAAUAGGGCACUUUGCCUUUGUGUCUUGGGUCCUUUUGGUAUCUGGGGAAGCCACUGGGACCCUUCACAGAAGACUACUUUUAAAAGAAUACAAUAAAAUACAUAGGUGUACAAAAGAAAACAAUUUUACUGGAAUACAGUUAUCAAAAUAUGCCAGGUAAAGAAUCCCCAGGCAAUUCUGAAAAGAGGACAUUUAGCUUCCUGAGCCAGCUUGUUCUGGGAAGUGUUCAAAGGGUUUUCCUUAUAUCCAAUGGAAAUCUGAUUUCCUGCUACCAUCACCCCUAUUUCUUAAUUAUUAAUCCAAUCCCUCAUCCACAUAAUCAUGCUACAAGUCCGGUUGUAAUGCCUUCUUUGCUUUUUUUGAGGAGUGUGAACUGCCACAUGAAUAAGAGGUGAUGACUGACUGAAACUUGAUGGACACUUCUCGCUCUACGGAAAUUUGCAUUGGGCAAAUUUGGCUAAAAAAUUCUAAAUUAAACCUGCAUUCCAAAAAAAAA